AACGAACGCUGGCGGCAUGCCUAACACAUGCAAGUCGAACGAGACCUUCGGGUCUAGUGGCGCACGGGUGCGUAACGCGUGGGAACCUGCCCUUAGGUUCGGAAUAACUCCCCUAAAGGGGUGCUAAUACCGGAUAAUUUCUUCGGACCAAAGAUUUAUCGCCUUUGGAUGGGCCCGCGUUGGAUUAGCUGGUUGGUAGGGUAAAAGCCUACCAAGGCGACGAUCCAUAGCUGGUCUGAGAGGAUGAUCAGCCACACUGGGACUGAGACACGGCCCAGACUCCUACGGGAGGCAGCAGUGGGGAAUAUUGGACAAUGGGCGAAAGCCUGAUCCAGCAAUGCCGCGUGAGUGAUGAAGGCCUUAGGGUUGUAAAGCUCUUUUACCCGGGAUGAUAAUGACAGUACCGGGAGAAUAAGCUCCGGCUAACUCCGUG
rnacentral:rRNA from 1 species